CCUAACAGGGAACGUUCCCACAACUUUCGCUAACGUUCUUUAAAGGUUGUGUAAAUGUUAGGACAAAACGUUAUUUAAAUAAUGUUUUUAGAACGUUUUUAGAACGUUAUUAGUAAGAAUUUACGUUCUGGGAAUGUUGGGGAAAAACGUUCUUAGAACAAUGUUCUUAGAACGUCCUAGUGACGUUAUUCAUACUUGAUGAACGUUCUCAGAACAACGAAAUAAAACGUUCUCAGAACAAUGUUCUUGGAACGUCCUAGUGACGUUAUUCAUACUUAAUGAACGUUCUCAUAAUGACGAGAGAAAACGUUCUUAAAACUUGUUCUUUGUGUGUGUGUGUGUGUGUGUGUGUGUGUGUGUGUGUGUGUGUGUGUGUGUGUGUGUGUGUGUGUGCGUGUGUGCGUGUGUGUGUGUGUGUUUGUGUACCUGGUAAUUGUCCCCACAAAGAUAGGAAUACCAGUAUUUUUGUGACCUUGUGGGGACAUUUUGACGACCCCAUGAGGAAACAAGCUUAUAAAUCAAACAGAAUGAUGUUUCUUGUGAAUGUGAAGUAGUAGAAGGGUUUCUUUGAUGGUUGGGGUUAGGGAAUGGGGUAGGUAAGGGGAAUAGAAUAUACAGUUUGUAUGGUAUAAAAUGCAUUACGUCUAUGGAAUGUCCCCACAAAACAUGGAAACCAGAGUGUGUGUGUGUGUGUGUGUGUGUCCGUGUGUGCGUGUGUUGUAAUUGUGCUUCUAUUCUUAUGCUGUUGUGAUAAUAUUUAAAAAAGAAUAUUACACCUGUACUUCUGCAAUUAUAUCCUUAUUUAUGUAUUUAUUUAUUGGCAAAACAAUUACAAAAAUCAAAUAAAAAGUUAUUUAUUGCAUUUGAAGCUUGAUGCGUAUAUAAAUAAUUAAAUAGCUAUCUGGUCAACUCCUGGUAAAAAAAACUCCUGGUUAUGUUACUGUGCAACACUCCGAGGUUUAUCUGAUCGCCAUUUGCGCAUGCGCACAAAACAACAAAAAGGUCUUGGAAACAGCAACAGCAGAACACUUCUAGAAAAGGUAUAGUGCCAAUGAUUUUUCUUUUUAUAGAAUAUUAAGUGUUAGCUUUGUGAAAUUACCUUUAUUUCAAUUGUGUCACCUUAUAAUUUAUAUCACACUGAUUAUUUAAGGUAGAGCAUUUCAAUAAAGUAAAAUACAAAAAUGUCAUAUAUGGCCAUAUAUGUACUUAUAUUUUACAUAGUAUGACAUAUAUCUAUACAUAUAUUUGACUUAUCUGAGAACACAAUAUAUGCCUGCAACAUAUAUGUACAUUUAUAUGUCCAAACAUGUGAAAAAAAUAUUUGGUUCCAUCAAUAUAUGAUACCAUAUAUCUGCAUAUAUUACACUAUAGUAUUGGUUUCUCACAUAUAUGGACAACAUUAAUUAUAAAUAUGUCACAUACAUAUUUGUUUUCCACAUAUCUAUACAUAUAUUUGGCUUAUCUGAGAACACAUUUUUAUCUGAUGCAUUUUUAAAGCUGUGGCAUAUGGUUAUGGUACUUUGUGGAUGUAUUUGUCAAAAAUGACAAAGAAAACACUGCAUUAUUGUAUUAAAAAUACUAUAUUAUGAAGUCCUGUUAGUUUUGUGAUCUAAAGACCCCCCCCCCCAGGAUCACCAUCAGACAGGUUUUUGCUUUUAUACAGUUUUGACAAACUAACUGCUGCUGGGUCGUCUCAAGUCCUAACAACAGCAAGUAAAAAUUAUCUGGUCAGAUCAUCUUUAAAUAUGUAAGUGAGUGUUCAAGAAGAUUUGAAAUGUAUGAUCAUUAUGGGGAAUCAACAGCUAUUUUAAUUACUUUGAACAAAAAUGACUGCAUUAGUUUACCAUCAUCAGAAAACUGCCAACUAAGUCUGUGUAUAUUAACAAACAGUGAUAAGUUGAUACUGAUAAUUAUGAAUAAUCACAAAUCAAUUACAUUAUUAUUUUUAUUUUAUUUAUUUAUUUAUUUGUGCAGGGAUUGGUAAAGUUAAUAAAUAAAUAAAUAAUAACCUAAUGUUAUUUUUUGGUUGCUUUUAUAUCUUUUAGUAUAGUGUUUGUUUAGCGAAUAUACACAUUAUUAUUAUUAUUAAAUCGUGUUAAUGUAUUGCUUUAUUAAUAAUAAAUAGUCAAAAGAACAUAGAAUUUCCUCCACUGCCUAUUGAAUGCGCCACACCCAGUCCAGUAGGAGGCGCUAAUGACCCUUCAGUUGCCAACCGCCACUCAGGCCAAAAGCGCAGAAGAACAAAAUGACCGGGAAAAUCUGACAGGACUGAGAGAAGAGGAUAACAGCACAGCGGGGUUUCAGAAGCCCAUCAGAGUGAUUUUCUGAGUUCUUUCACAUAUGCUGUAUGGUAAGAGUGAAUUUCUGCCAGUUGAUACCGGUGACAGGUGUUAAUUAAGUUUAUCUUUGUAUUUUUUAUUAAAGGUCAGCGAAUGGAUGGAUUAUCCAGUCACGGUACAUAAUGAAAGACUUGACUGAGUUAGAAGAAGCUGAGCGACUCUUCAGAGUGAAGAUGUUAUGAUGGGGCAUGAAGACACAGGCCAUGGACAGUGCUAGUUUUCAGCACUCACAUCCCACACACACUCACACACAAAUGUAUAAAGUUCUCACUGAUUCAAUGUUUUUAUUAAAGCUAGUUAUGUUUUGCUGUCAAUUUAUAUUUUAUUGUCGUAAGUAUUAUGUUAUUAAGUAUUAUGUUACAUUUUAUAUCAUUUUGAUCUGUUAAUGAGUUACGUUGCACCUGGAAUGUUAUCAUUUAAUAAAAUUAUGUUAAAAGAGAA